GACAUUGUACCCAAUACUGGCUAUGGGGUAGGCUUGCAAUUCCUAUUUAAUCCCGGUUCGAUUCCGGGCGAUGUCU
rnacentral:tRNA from 1 species